rnacentral:rRNA from 1 species
CAGCAGCCGCGGUAAUACGUAGGGUGCAAGCGUUAAUCGGAAUUACUGGGCGUAAAGCGUGCGCAGGCGGUUCGUUAAGACAGAUGUGAAAUCCCCGGGCUUAACCUGGGAACUGCAUUUGAUACUGGGGAUCUUGAGUCCGGAAGAGGUGAGUGGAACUGCGAGUGUAGAGGUGAAAUUCGUAGAUAUUCGGAAGAACACCAGUGGCGAAGGCGACUGACUGGACAAGUAUUGACGCUGAGGUGCGAAAGCGUGGGGAGCAAACAGGAUUAGAUACCCCGGUAGUCCCUGUCUCUUAUAC